AUUUGCGUCGAAGGUAUACCGGUAAGGAGUGCUGGAGCGAAUAGAAGUGAGCAUGCAGGCAUGAGUAGCGAUAAUUAAUGUGAGAAUCAUUAACGCCGUAAACCCAAGGUUUCCUACGCGAUGCUCGUCAUCGUAGGGUUAGUCGGGUCCUAAGUCGAGUCCGAAAGGGGUAGACGAUGGCAAAUUGGUUAAUAUUCCAAUACCAACAUUAGUGUGCGAUGGAAGGACGCUUAGGGCUAAGGGGGCUAGCGGAUGGAAGUGCUAGUCUAAGGUCGUAGGAGGUUAUACAGGCAAAUCCGUAUAACAAUACUCCGAGAACUGAAAGGCUUUUUGAAGUCUUCGGAUGGAUAGAAGAACCCCUGAUGCCGUCGAGCCAAGAAAAGUUUCUAAGUUUAGCUAAUGUUGCCCGUACCGUAAACCGACACAGGUGGGUGGGAUGAGUAUUCUAAGGCGCGUGGAAGAACUCUCUUUAAGGAACUCUGCAAAAUAGCACCGUAUCUUCGGUAUAAGGUGUGGUUCGCUUCGUAUUAGGAUUUACUCCGAAAGCGAAGAAACUUACAACAAAGAGUCCCUCCCGACUGUUUACCAAAAACACAGCACUCUGCUAACUCGUAAGAGGAUGUAUAGGGUGUGACGCCUGCCCGGUGCUCGAAGGUUAAUUGAUGGGGUUAGCAUUAGCGAAGCUCUUGAUCGAAGCCCGAGUAAACGGCGGCCGUAACUAUAACGGUCCUAAGGUAGCGAAAUUCCUUGUCGGUUAAAUACCGACCUGCAUGAAUGGCGUAACGAGAUGGGAGCUGUCUCAAAGAGGGAUCCAGUGAAAUUGUAGUGGAGGUGAAAAUUCCUCCUACCCGCGGCAAGACGGAAAGACCCCGUGGACCUUUACUACAGCUUGACACUGCUAUUUGGAUAAGAAUGUGCAGGAUAGGUGGGAGGCUUUGAGUAUAUGACGCCAGUUGUAUAUGAGCCAUUGUUGAGAUACCACUCUUUCUUAUUUGGGUAGCUAACCAGCUUGAGUUAUCCUCAAGUGGGACAAUGUCUGGUGGGUAGUUUGACUGGGGCGGUCGCCUCCCAAAUAAUAACGGAGGCUUACAAAGGUUGGCUCAGAACGGUUGGAAAUCGUUCGUAGAGUAUAAAGGUAUAAGCCAGCUUAACUGCAAGACAUACAAGUCAAGCAGAGACGAAAGUCGGUCUUAGUGAUCCGGUGGUUCUGUGUGGAAGGGCCAUCGCUCAAAGGAUAAAAGGUACCCCGGGGAUAACAGGCUGAUCUCCCCCAAGAGCUCACAUCGACGGGGAGGUUUGGCACCUCGAUGUCGGCUCAUCGCAUCCUGGGGCUGGAGCAGGUCCCAAGGGUAUGGCUGUUCGCCAUUUAAAGCGGUACGCGAGCUGGGUUCAGAACGUCGUGAGACAGUUCGGUCCCUAUCUGCCGUGGGCGUAAGAAGAUUGAAGAGAUUUGACCCUAGUACGAGAGGACCGGGUUGAACAAACCACUGGUGUAGCUGUUGUUCUGCCAAGAGCAUCGCAGCGUAGCUAAGUUUGGAAAGGAUAAACGCUGAAAGCAUCUAAGCGUGAAGCCAACUCUAAGAUGAAUCUUCUCUAAGCUCUCUAGAAGACUACUAGUUUGAUAGGCUGGGUGUGUAAUGGAUGAAAGUCCUUUAGCUGACCAGUACUAAUAGAGCGUUUGGCUUAUCUUUAAUAAAGCAU
rnacentral:rRNA from 2 species